UAAGUGAGUACUUGCAUUCUCAGUGCUUUGAUAUCCCUCAUAACUGGUUCGACAAUCUUCUAUACUACAACAUUUGUCUUAGGAGCCUUGAAAACUCCUAACAUCAAAUAUGCAAGAUAUCAAUGGAACAGAAAAACUAUAUGUUCAGACUAUUCUAUUUGAGAUGGAAUCUAUUGACAACUUAUUCUACUUGAGAUGGAAACUAGCUAUUUGUAACGUAUGCGCUACCAUUUUUCAUCAACAAUACUGUUUGUAAUAUAAAAUGUUAUUUUCUAUAUAAAAUAGAACGAAUUACUCUGUCAUAACCAUGUUUCCCUCUUACUUUGUUCUUUAGGUUUGGCAUGAACGAUUUAGGCCUUUCAAAAAGAUUGUUCGAGACAGGUUUUGAACCCACUGAAAAGACAGAUUAACAACUAUUUCAACCUCCGUUGGAUUGAGGUGAUCAAGAAUGCAUUAGAGGGUUCAAUCUAGUUCGUUAUUAUUUCAUGUUCUCUUGAUAUGAGUUUUGUAUCAGUGUAUAUAUAUAUUUUAUAUUAGUGUGUAUAAGAUUUUGCAUAGAUAAAUAAUAUAUUGAACUUAAAUGGAAUAAAAUUUAUUAUGACAUCAAAUAAAACAAAAUACAAUGUGAUGUUGAAUGAGAAUGAUAUUUAUAUGAUGUUGUCUCUUCCACCUAUUUUCUUUAAUGUCGUCAAUCUUCAUUUCUUUCGCUACAAUCAAUCUGAAUUUGGUGUAAGCAUUACUUCCUUCUCUGCAAUUAUAGACACUUCAACAUUUGAACAAUAUGUAUUGUAUUAUAUCGUUUGUCACAUUUCUAUUCUAUAUUCUCAUGUAGAAUUGGAAAUGCAUCUUACUGGUAUUUCGAAAUUUGGGUUUAGUUUAUGAAAGAUUGGGGUUGACAUUGAAUUAGGGUUUAUAUUUGGGUUAGGGUUUAGUGACUAGAGUUUAGGGUUUAGUAUUUAGUAGGUGAGGGAGUAUGGUUUGGGUCAGCAUUAAUUUUUUCAUGCAAUUAUAGACAUUUCAUAAUAUCUCCAACAUGUGCUAUGUCAUUUAUUUUGUUCCAUUCUAUUUGGGUUUAGGGUUUAUAUUUGGGUGAGGGUUUAGUGAUUAGAGUUUAACGUUUAGUAUUUAGAAGGCAAAAAGGUAUGGUUGGGAUCAUCAUUAACUUCUUUUAUGCAAUCAUAAACAUUUUAUAAUUUCACCAAUACAGACUAUGUUAUUUAUUUUGUUCCAUUCUAUUUGGAAUUCAUGUUUAUAUUUGGGAUUAUAGUUUAUAUUAGGGUUUAGAGCUUAUGGUUUAGGGUUUAGUGAUUAUAAUUUAGGGUUUAGUAUUUUGAAGGUGAGAAGGUAUAUGGUUGGGGACUUGGGGUCAUCAUUAAGUUCUUUCUUGCAAUUAUAGACAUUUCAUAAUUUCACCAAUAUAUACUAUGUUAUUUAUUUCGUUCUAUUCUAUUUGGGUUAAAGUUUAUAUUUGAAUUUAAAGUUUAUAUUUAGGUAAGGGUUUAGUUUCCAUGUUAUUUGGUUCACCUAUUCUAUUUCGUCAUCAUGAGUAGCAAUGUUAAGGAAUUGGUUUCUCCGUUACGUUCCCAUAAGUUGUAAUACGCGUACACUUAGUAUUACUUUAUUUUCCUUCGUAAUGUCACUAUCAUACGUGAUAAUUACAGCUGGCUUCUCCCUGCGUAUAUGUAUAUGCGUGUUUAUAUUUGACACAAAAGCACCACGUCGCCUAUUUUAACUAUUGUAACUGGUAACUUGUAACUUAAAAGGACAUAACCGGCUAAAAGGUGAGCAAAAAGACAGACACUGAAUUAUGUCAAAAUCAGUGUUAGUUACCUAAUUUGUCUCUGAAAAAUGGCUAUUACGCUAAUAAGCCCUUUAAACAAUUUCUCUUACAUUCUUUAGAUAUUUUUUUCUAAAUUCAUGAAACUCGAUUCUAAGUUUUACCAAUACCCGAUCAUAAGAGUUUUGUCAAAGUAUACAGUAUACUUUGGAUAAUAUUGUAUAUACACAUACCGAAGUACAUUGACCUUUUUUCAUUCUGAUAAACACAAUCAUUAUCCCUUUCUACUAUUUUUGGAGUAGAGACUAUAUUGAAAGGUGUUUAUAUACAUAUCUAGUUAAUGACACGGAUUCAAACCUGAAUUAUUGAUUUUGGAACAUUUAUAUAUUGUGGAUUAAAGAACAUGUGUUGACAAAAAAAAAAAGAACAUGUAGAUUUUUUUAAUUGAUCACAACAUAUUUAUAGAAGUUAACUAGCUACUCCUCUCAAAAUCACCGGCUAACCUUUCACGCCGACUUGAGGGAAAAAAAGACUCCAACUAUUACAAAUAUUCGUCUUCGAAAGAAAAAAAAAGAACAAAAAAAA